CUCCACUCUGCAAUGAGAAAACUGAUGCCCAGACAAGGGGAGGUGACUUGCCGUGUUCAUACAGAGUUGCUGGUAGAGUUGGUGGACCAGGGAUUCCUGACCGCCAGAGGUUCCAACCUGUUUGGCCCCAGCUGGCAUGAACUAGGUUCAGAGCUUUGUUGCUGAUCAGUUCCCCUGGGGCGAGCUGGAGAACGGGGCUGGUGACAGAUGAUUGUGCCUAACUCACACGGGUUCCACACCAGACCGGCAGGGCUCCUGACCAGCAAUGGCGCUUUUCCACAGAAGAUUCUCCAGUUGAGAACGGUCUUCUCAAAUUCUGAAGUCGGGCAAAGGAUUGAAACAGCAUUCCUACGAAGAGGGGCAGAGCCAGGAACCUGGGGACUUAGAAGUCAAUAAAGCAG
rnacentral:lncRNA from 1 species